GUAAAAGUCGUAACAAGGUUUCCGUAGGUGAACCUGCGGAAGGAUCAUUAUCGUACAAAAUGUGUGAGGCACGCAAGGGCUGUCGCUGACYUUURACACAAAGGUCGUGCACGCCGGAGUGUGUCCUCUCACAUAAAAUCCAUCUCACCCUUYUGUGCACCACCGCGUGGGCACCCUUCUGGAUCAAACCGAUCCGGGAGGGGGCUUGCGUUUUCACACAAACCCCCCCUUUUAAAAGUGUAGAAUGACYUCRUUUUUGCGAUAACACGCAAUCAAUACAACUUUCAACAACGGAUCUCUUGGCUCUCGCAUCGAUGAAGAACGCAGCGAAAUGCGAUACGUAAUGUGAAUUGCAGAAUUCAGUGAAUCAUCGAAUCUUUGAACGCACCUUGCGCCCCUUGGUAUUCCGAGGGGCACACCCGUUUGAGUGUCGUGAAAAUCUCAACCUUCUCGGUUUCUUCUGGACACCGAAGGAGGCUUGGACUUUGGAGGCCUUUGCUGGUGUCUCUCUCUUCUGAAACCCAGCUCCUCUUAAAUGAAUUAGCGGGGUCCUCUUUGCUGAUCCUUGACGUGUGAUAAGAUGUUUCCAUGUCUUGGUUUCUGGCUCUGUUGCUCCUGGGACCCGCUUCUAACCGUCUCRRCCUUGCGUCGAGACAAYGUUUGAGCGUGUCUCCCUUCUCGGGAAACGCUCUCAACCCCACGAACCCUUGACCUCAAAUCGGGUGAGACUACCCGCUGAACUUANNNNNNNNNNNNNNCGGAGGAAAAGAAACUAACAAGGAUUCCCCUAGUAACUGCGAGUGAAGCGGGAAAAGCUCAAAUUUAAAAUCUGGCGGUCUUGGGCCGUCCGAGUUGUAAUUUAGAGAAGCGUCUUCCGCGCCGGACCGUGCACAAGUCUCYUGGAAUGGAGCGUCAUAGAGGGUGAGAAUCCCGUCUUUGGCACGGAUGCCUGGUGCUUCUGUGAUGCGCUCUCGAAGAGUCGAGUUGUUUGGGAAUGCAGCUCAAAAUGGGUGGUGAACUCCAUCUAAAGCUAAAUAUUGGCGAGAGACCGAUAGCGAACAAGUACCGUGAGGGAAAGAUGAAAAGCACUUUGGAAAGAGAGUGAAACAGUACGUGAAAUUGUUGAAAGGGAAACGCUUGAAGUCAGUCGCGUCGACCGAGACUCAGCCUUGCCUCGGCUUGGUGUACUUCUCGGCCCGACGGGUCAGCGUCAAUUUUGCCCCUCGGAUAAUGGCAAGGGAAAGGUGGCACCUUUACCGGUGUGUUAUAGUCUCCUGUCGCAUGCGAGGGGUGGGAUUGAGGAACUCAGCGCGCACCUUGGUGUCGGGGCUUCGGCCCACGUCACGCGCUUAGGAUGCUGGCGUAAUGGCUUUAAACGACCCGUCUUGAAACACGGACCAAGGAGUCCAACACGCCCGCGAGUGUUCGGGUGGAAAACCCGUGCGCGUAAUGAAAGUGAAAGUUGGGACCUCUGUCGUGGAGGGCACCGACGCCCGGACCAGACCUUCUGUGACGGAUCUGCGGUAGAGCGUGUGUGUUGGGACCCGAAAGAUGGUGAACUAUGCCUGAAUAGGGUGAAGCCAGAGGAAACUCUGGUGGAGGCUCGUAGCGAUUCUGACGUGCAAAUCGAUCGUCAAAUUUGGGUAUAGGGGCGAAAGACUAAUCGAACCAUCUAGUAGC
rnacentral:rRNA from 1 species